ensembl:lncRNA
CCCUCAAAUGCGGCCUUCAUUUCCCUGAAUUUUAAGGAUAUGGCGGUGUAGACUUUGUGGCCCAACAUGUCCCAGAAUGCAUAGCACGGCGGUGGGUGUAGAUAAUUUUGCCGAAAAAAAAAAAACGGCGGAAGAGGGGCGUCCGAAGAGUAAACUUUUAAAAUAAAGAGGCAGGUAGUGAAGCUCACAGUACAUGUGGAGGACCCUCCUGUGGAUCUGAAUGACUCUGCUGUGAAAGCAGAACUGCUGACAAGGGUGAAGGAGCAGCUGAAGAAGAAAGGAGUGGGUGGAGUCAGUGUGAGGUGGAGAGUGCAGCCGUAUGGGAAGCUCUUGGCUGGAGAUGGAAGAAGAAAGAAGACUCUGAGAGAAAAAGAAAAAUGUUUCAGAAGCUUUUCUGCUUGAAUCAUGUGACAGCCAAUUAAACUUUAUUAUCCACACGUCAUUCUCCCAGCUGUGUCUGAGCACAGAUGUGGGCUAACAUCUGUUUUUAGGCUCUUCUGUCACAGUGUUUGUGGGCGUGGCCUCUUCUUUGGCUUUCAUAGAGAUAAAUGCAGACGUGUUUGUGAGCUACAGGUUUCUGCUGACACAUGUUCACUUUUGGAAAUCAGAGUGACAAACAUGCUCUCCAACAGCUGGUCACCCCAGUCACCGUGGAAACAAGCACAGGAAAUACAGCAGGCUGAAACUGUCUUGGUCCUGGCUCUUUGAGUUUCUGGACUUUGUGUUUAUUAUUAAAUAUUUUCUAUGUGAUUAUUAGUUUGCUGAUUGUUUCUAUUUCAUCUUCGUGUUAUUCCUCAGUGUUUCAGUCUGGAGGGUUUAUUUCCAGUUACUGUUGAUGUUGCUUUAUUUUAUUCCUUCACUGUUUCCCGUCUCAUCCUCCUGUGAUAAGUUCCUUCAUGUGGACUUUGCCUUCAAC